AAUCGGUGACGUCACUUUCUCUGAGACCUUGAAGUAGUGGUUCCCCUUGCUCUUUUCUUUUUUUAUCUUACAGAUGGGCCUACCCGAAACCCAGUGACAACACUUGGGUCUGCAGCUGCCAUUUUUCGGUGGGAAAGAAAUUGGGUCUGUAUUUACCAGAAAAGGAAGCUCAUCCACCAUGGCAGAAGUGGAAGAUCCAGACUGAUGAUUGGGAAACAAGAACAAACAAUGAGGCAUGAGGUUGGGGGUUGAUGGACCACUUGGCAAAUUGUCCAAGGGGGGUUUGUGUUAUGAUAAACAAUGCAUUUUCUGUCCAGAUAAAGAUGUUGAUACGGCAUUGAAAAAUACCCAUCAUUGAUUAAAUGUAUCUUUGUUUUUCCAACAGAACAUCCUUUGAACCAUCUGAUGCAUGGACAUCCUAUGCCGGGGUGAUCUGAGCAUAAGCGUCCAGUUGUGGAGACUACAGCACAUCGAGCCUGUGGACAGAUAGACAAGAGGCUUGACCUGCGGAACAUCAGGCACACCCCACGAGAAGUGGUGCACGAUCAACGCCACGCUCAGCAAGGAGAUCUGCUGGAAGUGAUGUACUCUUUCAUUCUGGGGGUACUGACAGGAGGAGCAAUAUGAGUCUGCUAGAGGCUGUCAUGCUCGAUGGGGUGUGUGAUGGAAGCUUUGGGGUUCCACACAACGAAGAAGCAGGUGUCCAUUCCAGGGAUGUGGAGCUGACCUUGGACCGGGUGCCAGUAAGGAUGGUCUUCACGGAUAAAAUCCUUUGACUUCACUGCCUCUUCAAUGAAACAUUGCUCGGAUCUUGGACCUUGGAGAACUUUUGGUGUGGAUGAUCAG